rnacentral:rRNA from 1 species
UACGGAGGGUGCAAGCGUUGUUCGGAAUUACUGGGCGUAAAGAGUGUCAAGGUGGAUCUGCAAGUCAGAUGUGAAAUCCCCCGGCUUAACUGGGGAGGGUCGUUUGAAACUGCAGAUCUUGAGUGUCGGAGAGGUGAGCGGAAUUCCCAGUGUAGAGGUGAAAUUCGUAGAGAUUGGGAGGAACAUCAGAGGCGAAGGCGGCUCACUGGCCGAUUACUGACACUGCCACACGAAAGCGUGGGGAGCAAACAGG